GAGUUUGACCCUGGCUCAGGAUGAACGCUGGCGGCGUGCCUAAUACAUGCAAGUCGAGCGAACAGAUAAGGAGCUUGCUCCUUUGACGUUAGCGGCGGACGGGUGAGUAACACGUGGGUAACCUACCUAUAAGACUGGAAUAACUCCGGGAAACCGGGGCUAAUGCCGGAUAAUAUUUAGAACCGCAUGGUUCUAAAGUGAAAGAUGGUUUUGCUAUCACUUAUAGAUGGACCCGCGCCGUAUUAGCUAGUUGGUGGGGUAAUGGCUUACCAAGGCAACGAUACGUAGCCGACCUGAGAGGGUGAUCGGCCACACUGGAACUGAGACACGGUCCAGACUCCUACGGGAGGCAGCAGUAGGGAAUCUUCCGCAAUGGGCGAAAGCCUGACGGAGCAACGCCGCGUGAGUGAUGAAGGUCUUCGGAUCGUAAAACUCUGUUAUUAGGGAAGAACAAAUGUGUAAGUAACUGUGCACGUCUUGACGGUACCUAAUCAGAAAGCCACGGCUAACUACGUGCCAGCAGCCGCGGUAAUACGU
rnacentral:rRNA from 1 species